UUCGUAGGCGGUGCGGCAAGUCGGAAGUGAAAUCCCUGGGCUUAACUCAGGGGCUGCUCCCGAAACUGCCGUGCUCGAGUGCGGGAGAGGCGAGUGGAAUUGCAGGUGUAGCGGUGAAAUGCGUAGAUAUCUGCAGGAACACCCGUGGCGAAGGCGGCUCGCUGGACCGCAACUGACGCUGGGGAACGAAAGCUAGGGGAGCAAACAGGAUUAGAUACCCUGGUAGUCCUAGCCCUAAACCAUCAGGACUUGGGGUGCAUCCCGUUCGGGGUGCGUCCCGGAGCUAACGCGUUAAGUCCUGCGCCUGGGGAGUACGGUCGCAAGGCUGAA
rnacentral:rRNA from 1 species